rnacentral:rRNA from 1 species
UUUAACAUGAGAGUUUGAUCCUGGCUCAGGAUGAACGCUGGCGGCGUGCUUAACACAUGCAAGUCGAACGAAGCACUUUAUUUGAUUUCCUUCGGGACUGAUUAUUUUGUGACUGAGUGGCGGACGGGUGAGUAACGCGUGGGUAACCUGCCUUGUACAGGGGGAUAACAGUUGGAAACGGCUGCUAAUACCGCAUAAGCGCACGGCAUCGCAUGAUGCAGUGUGAAAAACUCCGGUGGUAUAAGAUGGACCCGCGUUGGAUUAGCUAGUUGGUGAGGUAACGGCCCACCAAGGCGACGAUCCAUAGCCGACCUGAGAGGGUGACCGGCCACAUUGGGACUGAGACACGGCCCAAACUCCUACGGGAGGCAGCAGUGGGGAAUAUUGCACAAUGGGCGAAAGCCUGAUGCAGCGACGCCGCGUGAGCGAAGAAGUAUUUCGGUAUGUAAAGCUCUAUCAGCAGGGAAGAUAAUGACGGUACCUGACUAAGAAGCACCGGCUAAAUACGUGCCAGCAGCCGCGGUAAUACGUAUGGUGCAAGCGUUAUCCGGAUUUACUGGGUGUAAAGGGAGCGCAGGCGGUGCGGCAAGUCUGAUGUGAAAGCCCGGGGCUCAACCCCGGUACUGCAUUGGAAACUGUCGUACUAGAGUGUCGGAGGGGUAAGCGGAAUUCCUAGUGUAGCGGUGAAAUGCGUAGAUAUUAGGAGGAACACCAGUGGCGAAGGCGGCUUACUGGACGAUAACUGACGCUGAGGCUCGAAAGCGUGGGGAGCAAACAGG